AACGAACGCUGGCGGCAGGCUUAACACAUGCAAGUCGAACGAUGUAGCAAUACAUAGUGGCGCACGGGUGAGUAACGCGUGGGAAUAUACCAAUCAGUGGGGAAUAACUUUGGGAAACUAAAGCUAAUACCGCAUACGCCCGAGAGGGGAAAGAUUUAUCGCUGAUUGAUUAGCCCGCGUGAGAUUAGGUAGUUGGUGGGGUAAUGGCCUACCAAGCCUACGAUCUCUAGCUGGUCUGAGAGGAUGAUCAGCCACACUGGAACUGAGACACGGUCCAGACUCCUACGGGAGGCAGCAGUGGGGAAUAUUGGGCAAUGGAGGAAACUCUGACCCAGCCAUGCCGCGUGAAUGAUGAAGGCCUUAGGGUUGUAAAGUUCUUUCGCCGAUGAAGAUAAUGACGGUAGUCGGAGAAGAAGCCCCGGCUAACUUCGUGCCAGCAGCCGCGGUAAU
rnacentral:rRNA from 1 species